ensembl:rRNA 5S_rRNA 5S ribosomal RNA
GUCUAGGCCACACCACCCUGAAUGCGCCGGCUCGCCUCUGUUCUGCUGAAGCUAAGCAGGGUCGGGACUGAUUAGUACUUGGAUGGGAUUCCGCCUGGUAAUAGCGGGUACCGUAGGCU